rnacentral:rRNA from 1 species
UACGUAGGGGGCAAGCGUUGUCCGGAAUUACUGGGCGUAAAGCGCCUGUAGGCGGUAACGUGCGUCGGACGUGAAAGGCGGGGGCUUAACCCCCGAGCGGCGUUCGAAACGGCGUUUCUUGAGGGUCGAAGAGGAGCGUGGAAUUCCUGGUGUAGCGGUGAAAUGCGUAGAGAUCAGGAGGAACACCCAUGGCGAAGGCAGCGCUCUGGUCGGCAUCUGACGCUGAGAGGCGAAAGCGUGGGGAGCGAACGGG